UACGAAGGGGGCUAGCGUUGCUCGGAAUCACUGGGGCGUAAAGCGCACGUAGGCGGCUUUUUAAGUCAGGGGUGAAAUCCUGGAGCUCAACUCCAGAACUGCCUUUGAUACUGAGAAGCUUGAGUCCGGGGAGAGGUGAGUGGAACUGCGAGUGUAGAGGUGAAAUUCGUAGAUAUUCGCAAGAACACCUGUGGCGAAGGCGGCUCUCUGGGACGGUACUGGACGCUGGAGACGCGAAAAGCGUGGGGAGCAAACAGGG
rnacentral:rRNA from 1 species